GGCUUCGUGGUCUAGUGGUAUGAUUCCUGCUUUGGGUGAUCAAUCUCAAAUCUGCAGGAGGCCCCGCGUUCGAAUCGCGGCGGAGCCC